rnacentral:rRNA from 1 species
GGGACACGUGGUAUCCUGUCUGAAUAUGGGGGGACCAUCCUCCAAGGCUAAAUACUCCUGACUGACCGAUAGUGAACCAGUACCGUGAGGGAAAGGCGAAAAGAACCCCGGCGAGGGGAGUGAAAAAGAACCUGAAACCGUGUACGUACAAGCAGUGGGAGCACGCUUAGGCGUGUGACUGCGUACCUUUUGUAUAAUGGGUCAGCGACUUAUAUUCUGUAGCAAGGUUAACCGAAUAGGGGAGCCGAAGGGAAACCGAGUCUUAACUGGGCGUUAAGUUGCAGGGUAUAGACCCGAAACCCGGUGAUCUAGCCAUGGGCAGGUUGAAGGUUGGGUAACACUAACUGGAGGACCGAACCGACUAAUGUUGAAAAAUUAGCGGAUGACUUGUGGCUGGGGGUGAAAGGCCAAUCAAACCGGGAGAUAGCUGGUUCUCCCCGAAAGCUAUUUAGGUAGCGCCUCGUGAAUUCAUCUCCGGGGGUAGAGCACUGUUUCGGCAAGGGGGUCAUCCCGACUUACCAACCCGAUGCAAACUGCGAAUACCGGAGAAUGUUAUCACGGGAGACACACGGCGGGUGCUAACGUCCGUCGUGAAGAGGGAAACAACCCAGACCGCCAGCUAAGGUCCCAAAGUCAUGGUUAAGUGGGAAACGAUGUGGGAAGGCCCAGACAGCCAGGAUGUUGGCUUAGAAGCAGCCAUCAUUUAAAGAAAGCGUAAUAGCUCACUGGUCGAGUCGGCCUGCGCGGAAGAUGUAACGGGGCUAAACCAUGCACCGAAGCUGCGGCAGCGACACUAUGUGUUGUUGGGUAGGGGAGCGUUCUGUAAGCCUGUGAAGGUGUGCUGUGAGGCAUGCUGGAGGUAUCAGAAGUGCGAAUGCUGACAUAAGUAACGAUAAAGCGGGUGAAAAGCCCGCUCGCCGGAAGACCAAGGGUUCCUGUCCAACGUUAAUCGGGGCAGGGUGAGUCGACCCCUAAGGCGAGGCCGAAAGGCGUAGUCGAUGGGAAACAGGUUAAUAUUCCUGUACUUGGUGUUACUGCGAAGGGGGGACGGAGAAGGCUAUGUUGGCCGGGCGACGGUUGUCCCGGUUUAAGCGUGUAGGCUGGUUUUCCAGGCAAAUCCGGAAAAUCAAGGCUGAGGCGUGAUGACGAGGCACUACGGUGCUGAAGCAACAA